GAUGAACGCCGGCGGUGUGCCUAAUACAUGCAAGUCGAACGCGUUGGCCCAAUUGAUUGAUGGUGCUUGCACCUGAUUGAUUUUGGCCGCCAACGAGUGGCGGACGGGUGAGUAACACGUAGGUAACCUGCCCAGAAGCGGGGGACAACAUUUGGAAACAGAUGCUAAUACCGCAUAACAGCGUUGUUCGCAUGAACAACGCUUAAAAGAUGGCUUCUUGCUAUCACUUCUGGAUGGACCUGCGGUGCAUUAGCUUGUUGGUGGGGUAACGGCCCACCAAGGCGAUGAUGCAUAGCCGAGUUGAGAGACUGAUCGGCCACAAUGGGACUGAGACACGGCCCAUACUCCUACGGGAGGCAGCAGUAGGGAAUCUUCCACAAUGGGCGCAAGCCUGAUGGAGCAACACCGCGUGAGUGAAGAAGGGUUUCGGCUCGUAAAGCUCUGUUGUUAAAGAAGAACGCGUAUGAGAGUAACUGUUCAUACGUUGACGGUAUUUAACCAGAAAGUCACGGCUAACUACGUGCCAGCAGCCGCGGUAAUACGUAGGUGGCAAGCGUUAUCCGGAUUUAUUGGGCGUAAAGAGAGUGCAGGCGGUUUUCUAAGUCUGAUGUGAAAGCCUUCGGCUUAACCGGAGAAGUGCAUCGGAAACUGGAUAACUUGAGUGCAGAAGAGGGUAGUGGAACUCCAUGUGUAGCGGUGGAAUGCGUAGAUAUAUGGAAGAACACCAGUGGCGAAGGCGGCUACCUGGUCUGCAACUGACGCUGAGACUCGAAAGCAUGGGUAGCGAACAGG
rnacentral:rRNA from 1 species